AUUGAACGCUGGCGGCAGGCCUAACACAUGCAAGUCGAACGGUAACAGGAAGCAGCUUGCUGCUUCGCUGACGAGUGGCGGACGGGUGAGUAAUGUCUGGGAAGCUGCCUGAUGGAGGGGGAUAACUACUGGAAACGGUAGCUAAUACCGCAUAAUGUCGCAAGACCAAAGAGGGGGACCUUCGGGCCUCUUGCCAUCGGAUGUGCCCAGAUGGGAUUAGCUAGUUGGUGGGGUAACGGCUCACCAAGGCGACGAUCCCUAGCUGGUCUGAGAGGAUGACCAGCCACACUGGAACUGAGACACGGUCCAGACUCCUACGGGAGGCAGCAGUGGGGAAUAUUGCACAAUGGGCGCAAGCCUGAUGCAGCCAUGCCGCGUGUAUGAAGAAGGCCUUCGGGUUGUAAAGUACUUUCAGCGGGGAGGAAGGGAGUAAAGUUAAUACCUUUGCUCAUUGACGUUACCCGCAGAAGAAGCACCGGCUAACUCCGC
rnacentral:rRNA from 1 species